rnacentral:rRNA from 1 species
UUACCCGCUGGAAAUUAGCAUAUCAAUAAGCGGAGGAAAAGAAACCAACAGGGAUUGCCCUAGUAACGGCGAGUGAAGCGGCAACAGCUCAAAUUUGAAAUCUGGCCUUCGGGUCCGAGUUGUAAUUUGUAGAGGAUGUUUUUGGCGCGGUGCCUUCCGAGUUCCCUGGAACGGGACGCCUUAGAGGGUGAGAGCCCCGUACGGUUGGACACCAAGCCUCUGUAUAACUCCUUCGACGAGUCGAGUAGUUUGGGAAUGCUGCUCUAAAUGGGAGGUAAAUUUCUUCUAAAGCUAAAUAUUGGCCAGAGACCGAUAGCGCACAAGUAGAGUGAUCGAAAGAUGAAAAGCACUUUGAAAAGAGGGUUAAAUAGCACGUGAAAUUGUUGAAAGGGAAGCGUUUGCGACCAGACCUUUUCCUGGCGGAUCAUCCGGUGUUCUCACCGGUGCACUUCGCCAGGUUUAGGCCAGCAUCGGUUUCUGUAGGGGGAUAAAAGCUUGGGGAACGUAGCUCCCUCGGGAGUGUUAUAGCCCCUCGCAUAAUACCCCUACGGGGACCGAGGACCGCGCUUUUGCAAGGAUGCUGGCGUAAUGGUCGUCAACGACCCGUCUUGAAACACGGACCAAGGAGUCGAACAUUUGUGCGAGUGUUUGGGUGUUAAACCCUCACGCGUAAUGAAAGUGAACGGAGGUGAGAGCCCUUGCGGGUGCAUCAUCGACCGAUCCUGAUGUCUUCGGAUGGAUUUGAGUAAGAGCAUAACUGUUCGGACCCGAAAGAUGGUGAACUAUGCGUGGAUAGGGUGAAGCCAGAGGAAACUCUGGUGGAGGCUCGCAGCGGUUCUGACGUGCAAAUCGAUCGUCAAAUCUGCGCAUGGGGGCGAAAGACUAUCGAACCAUUAAGAGCGG